UAAAAAUUUAUUCAUCAUAUAUAAAUAAAUAGAUAUUUGUGUUGAAUGGAUAAAAUAAAAAAGGACAAAUUUAAAUGCGAUUCGUGUAAUCGAGAAUCAUUGGAUGCGUCCCUGAGACGAAGAGAAUGGGAUGAGGAAGGGAGUAAGCAGCCUCCGCACUUCGAAGAAGCUCGGUCCAGAACUAAUCGUCAAAAUAUAUAGUAAGCGUUAGGAUGAGGGUAGAAAGGCCGCCCGGGUGAAACACCUGCUCGAUUUGACAAGAUACCCACCGUAGCCUCCUCCUGCACAACAAUAAUAACACAAGAGAUGAAGAAGAAGAAGAAGAGGAAGAAGAAGAAGAAGAAGAAGAAGAAGAAGAAGGAGAUGAAGAAGAAGAAGAAGAACGGAUGCUGGGCUAUACUGGGUAACGCAGAAAGAUUAUUGCAAGACGUAGAACGCUGCGAGCGAUGCUGCCGCUACGAGAGCAAGCUGCAGCUUUAGAGAUGAUCCAGUCUACCGGAGAUACGAUUAUAAGGAAGAAAAAUUUGUGACUUUACGUUAACAUUGAAGCUUCGAGUUUCAUCCGUGGGUUUUAUCUUAAUUGGACGAUAUCAGAGCUCUUUUGAUUCUUUUAUACAAACUAAACGAACGUCGAUAUGACAUGAAAGAUGAAGAAGGAGAAGAAGAAGAAAAAAAAAAAAGGAGAAAAAAAAAGAAAAGAAAAGAAAAAUAACUGGUAAUUUGAUCUAAAGAAAAAUUUAAUUAACUCAAAACGGACGUAGAAAGAGAAUGUUGUUAAUGGAAAUCGAUGCAGGUGAAAGUUAAUUGUAAUGUGCACGCGGCCGUGAUUUAUGGCAGUGCUGAUGGAUCUGCCAGCGGACAAACGACUCGAUCUUAAGAGGAAAACGGAAUCUCGGGGGCGACCACUUGAUCUAUAGUUUCGUGCCUGAGUAUACUUUUUGGUACGAACAAAUCUAUUUGGGAUUUCUUUGCGUGCGACCGACGAAAUUCGUGAUCUCUAGACGAAAUACAAUUCGAGUAUUUAUUCGUCUAUUAGAUGUCUCUCAGAGUGAUAUAUAUAUAUAUAU